rnacentral:rRNA from 1 species
GACGUAGGGCGCGAGCGUUGUCCGGAUUUAUUGGGCGUAAAGAGCUCGUAGGCGGCUUGUCGCGUCGACUGUGAAAACCCGCGGCUUAACUGCGGGACUGCAGCCGAUACGGGCAGGCUAGAGUUCGGUAGGGGAGACUGGAAUUCCUGGUGUAGCGGUGAAAUGCGCAGAUAUCAAGGAGGAACACCGGUGGCGAAGGCGGGUCUCUGGGCCGAAUACUGACGCUGAGGAGCGAAAGCGUGGGGAGCGAACAGG